rnacentral:lncRNA from 1 species
GUAGAUUUUGUAAAAACAAAAAGAAAAAAACAAAACAAAUAAAAAUUAAAAAACACUACACACCAUCCCAUACAUAUGUAACAUGUGUGGUGUACAAAUAGCAGUAAAUUGCAGGAGCGAAGUAUACAGCAUAUACCAACACUGUUAACACUGGUGAGUGUUUCGCAAGCGCUAUUAAUAAAUAUUUUAAUGUAAUUUUGUUCAAUUUCUAUUUUAGGAUAGAACAGCUUUGUUGAUUGUUAUGUGCAGUUACUCUUCAGGCUAUACAUGGGCAUUUUGAAUAUAAAGAUGAUUAUAAUCAGCACGAUUAUCAGCACGACAAUGGUAACAGCGUUGUCGUAGAGGAAUUGGUAGCCAACUGCAAAUUUUGAUCGUUGAUUGUUUGAGUUGCUCAUAAGGUUGCUCAUAAGGUCUGCCUUGGUGGCCGACAUUGCCAUUGCCUCUUAUGUUUCAGUCAAGGGCUUGUCUAAUUGAUCAAAAUGAUGACGUUUGGUGACGUCCAUUAAGACAUUUUUGGCGCUGGCUAUCACCUGGAAGGCAUCAGUGGCACCGGGGUGUUUGUUUUUGUCGGGAUGCACCACCCGGGACAAUUGUCUGUAGGCCGAACUUAUCUGAUCGUUCGUGGCUGUUUGUGGCACAUUCAAAACGGCAUAGUAAUUGUUGCGGACCGCAUUGACACGACGCAUAGCUUCCACCUGCUCGUCCAUUUUGCUUUAGUUCAAUGAAUAAAUCAAUUUUUUGAGUAAGUUGAUUUAUUUUACAAGGGCUAACGCGAAUGACUGCCUCGAAUAC